rnacentral:rRNA from 1 species
CGGGUGAUUGUAGGAGACUUCUAGAAGUUGGUUGAUCCUGCCAGUAGUCAUAUGCCCGUCUCAAAGAUUAAGCCAUGCAUGUGUAAGUAUAAGCGAUUGUACUGUGAGACUGCGAACGGCUCAUUAUAUCAGUAAUAAUUUCUUCGGUAGUUUCUUUUAUAUGGAUACCUGCAGUAAUUCUGGAAAUAAUACAUGCUGUAAGAGCCCUGUAUGGGGCUGCACUUAUUAGAUUGAAGCCGAUUUUAUUGGUGAAUCAUGAUAAUUGAGCAGAUUGACUUUUUGGUCGAUGAAUCGUUUGAGUUUCUGCCCCAUCAGUUGUCGACGGUAGUGUAUUGGACUACGGUGACUAUAACGGGUGACGGAGAGUUAGGGCUCGACUCCGGAGAGGGAGCCUGAGAGACGGCUACCAUAUCCAAGGAUAGCAGCAGGCGCGUAAAUUACCCACUGUGGACUCCACGAGGUAGUGACGAGAAAUAUCGAUGCGAAGCGUGUAUGCGUUUUGCUAUCGGAAUGAGAGCAAUGUAAAACCCUCAUCGAGGAUCAACUGGAGGGCAAGUCUGGUGACCAGCAGCCGCCGGUUUAUUUUCAGCUUUCCAGAAUGCCAUAUGGCUAAAGUUGUUGCAGUUAAAAAGCUCGUAGUUGAAUUUCUGGCAUGGGCGACCGGUGCCUUUCCCUGAAUGGGGAUUGAUUGUCUGUGUUGCCUUGGCCAUCUUUUUCUUUUCUUUAUUGAUGAGAAAUCUUUCACUGUAAUCAAAGCAGAGUGUUCCAAGCAGGUCGUAUGACCGGUAUGUUUAUUAUGGGAUGAUAAGAUAGGACUUGGGUGCUAUUUUGUUGGUUUGCACGCCUGAGUAAUGGUUAAUAGGAACAGUUGGGGGUAUUCGUAUUUAGGAGCUAGAGGUGAAAUUCUUGGAUUUCCGAAAGACGAACUAGAGCGAAAGGCAUUUACCAAGCAUGUUUUCAUUAAUCAAGAACGAAAGUCUGGGGAUCGAAGAUGAUUAGAUACCAUCGUAGUCUAGACCGUAAACGAUGCCGACUUGCGAUUGUUGGGUGCUUUAUUAUAUGGGCCUCAGCAGCAGCACAUGAGAAAUCAAAGUCUUUGGGGUUCGGGGGGGAGUAUGGUUCGCAAGGCUGAAACUUAAAGGAAUUGACGGAAGGGCACCACCAGGAGUGGAGCCUGCGGCUUAAUUUGACUCAACACGGGACAACUUACCAGGUCCAGACAUAGUUAGGAUUGACAGAUUGAGAAGCUCUUUUCAUGGAUUCUCAUGGAUUGGGUGGUUCAUGGCCGUUCUUAGUUGGUGGAGUGAUUUGUCUGGUUAAUUCCGUUAACGAACGAGACCUCGGCCUACUAAAUAGUGCGUGGUAUGGCAACAUAGUACGUUUUUACUUCUUAGAGGGACAUGUCCGGUUUACGGGCAGGAAGUUCGAGGCAAUAACAGGUCUGUGAUGCCCUUAGAUGUUCUGGGCCGCACGCGCGCUACACUGAUGGGUUCAUCGGGUUUUAAUUUCAAUUUUUUGGAAUUGAGUGCUUGGUCGGAAGGCCUGGCUAAUCCUUGGAACGCUCAUCGUGCUGGGGCUAGAUUUUUGCAAUUAUUAAUCUCCAACGAGGAAUUCCUAGUAAACGCAAGUCAUCAGCUUGCAUUGAAUACGUCCCUGCCCUUUGUACACACCGCCCGUCGCACCUACCGAUUGAACGGUCCGAUGAAACCAUGGGAUGUUUCUGUUUGGAUUGAUUUUUGGACAGAGGCAGAACUCGGGUGAAUCUUAUUGUUUAGAGGAAGGUGAAGUCGUAACAAGGUUUCCGUAGGUGAACCUGCGGAAGGAUCAUUAAUCUGCUAAAAACUCGAGCCUCAGAAGUUCCUGUU